CUUUCAAUCACCAGAAGCCACCUCUAGCCCCAACCAAAUACCAUCCAAAUGGAUCCUGGCUUCAUUCCACUGAUUUCCUUAUCAAAUCAGGUGCAUACAAGGUGGCCAAUUGGUGGCGCUUGUCUCCACAAAAUUGUUGAAGGGCAGGAAGGGAGGACAAGAGUACAGGGAAAGGGGAGAGAGAGGGGAAGCAUGUGAACGGGAGGGAGAGGAAAACUGAAAGCAAAAGGAAACCAUAACUUGUCACUUGGUUUGGAAAUGUACCUUUCCAGAUCCAAACUGUGGGUGUGAGUGGUUGGGGAAUAUUGGAGUGAUCUGAGGAACUUUUUUGGUACCUGGAGCUCUCCCUCUAAGUUCUUACCUCGCUGGCCUCUUCCUCCAAGAAGGAGAAUGAUUGGAGGCAGGCGGACCUGGAUCAAGUUCUGAGUCAGUUCUUUUGCAGCUUGACCUGAUGUGCAAAAUUUCCCCCCAAAUUGACCUUGACUGAAACAAAGAAACCAGCGAAGAGGAAGAUAUGGAAUUCAAGAAGCAGAGAAUCCAACACAGGAUAGCGAUGGAGGGAAUUCCAAGGAAAACAGUGAAGGGAAACAGGGCCACAUCUGUGCAGCAGACAUGGAGAGCAAUCAGCCCCAGCUGGAGCUGGAGGACAGAGGGCGAGGGGAGAGGUGCCCCCAGGAACAGAAAACACAGCAACCCAAAGCAAUGAUAGAUCUCCCAAUAAGUUUGACCUCAUGAAAAUUAGGGAAGAUUUGGCUACAGGUGAAAGAAAGAUAAGUAAAUGAAAAAAAAUAAGGCACUGAACUCCAGGAAAAAUGAAAAGCUACACUCUCCCUCCAAAAGGAGUUGUAGUCAUGGUACACCAGCAGCUAUCAGAGAACAAUAUUCAUAUAGCAAUAAUAUGUGAAUUAUUACUUUAACCAAAAGUUGGUGAUUUGGGUGGGAAUGAGAAGGGAUAGGGAUUUCAGAGGUAAAUGACAAUCAAUCAUAAUAGGAAGUUAAUCAUUGCUGUUGUGAGAGAGUAAUAUAAGCAUGGAAAUACAGAAGUGUAUUCAGAAAGAGACAGACAUGAAUUGAAAGUAGAUAGUUCUAGGGUACAAUACAGGUUCCUGAAAAUUGGGCUAGGCACCAUUAAAAACCUUGUCAUUGCUUUUUGGACUGUUACUUUAUAUGCUUGUUUCAAUUCAAUAAAAGCAAGAAUUAAGUGUUAAAAA